rnacentral:rRNA from 1 species
GACGAACGCUGGCGGCGUGCUUAACACAUGCAAGUCGAACGAAGAGCGACGGAAGCUUGCUUCUAUCAAUCUUAGUGGCGAACGGGUGAGUAACGCGUAAUCAACCUGCCCUUCAGAGGGGGACAACAGUUGGAAACGACUGCUAAUACCGCAUACGAUCUAAUCUCGGCAUCGAGGAUGGAUGAAAGGUGGCCUCUACAUGUAAGCUAUCACUGAAGGAGGGGAUUGCGUCUGAUUAGCUAGUUGGAGGGGUAACGGCCCACCAAGGCGAUGAUCAGUAGCUGGUCUGAGAGGAUGAACGGCCACAUUGGGACUGAGACACGGCCCAGACUCCUACGGGAGGCAGCAGUGGGGAAUCUUCCGCAAUGGAAGAAAGUCUGACGGAGCAACGCCGCGUGAGUGAUGACGGCCUUCGGGUUGUAAAGCUCUGUUAAUCGGGACGAAAGGCCUUCUUGCGAAUAGUGAGAAGGAUUGACGGUACCGGAAUAGAAAGCCACGGCUAACUACGUG